UAAUUAAUGAAUCUUAGUUAAUGCAUUACUGGGUCAUUGCAACCACCAAAAUCAAUCGCAAAUGUGGCGUCAAAAGUAGUUCUUGACGAGAGGAGAUUUAUAUGCAUUUGGCGAUUUCAUGUUUCUUUAAACUGUUGGCUGUCAUUCGUUAUUUAAAAUCUAACAUGCAUAACCGUAGAAUGGACGCUUAAUGCACAUUUUUCGUGGCCAUUUCUUUCCAGGCAUGCAAGCAAACAGUGACGAAGCAAAAGGGUUGCAGUGUUAAGCGCAAGGACACAGCGGAAACUGCAUGUGCAAAGAAAAUAAAGACAGCGAAGGUUGUGGUCCAGGAGAAAAAUGCAACUAAGGCAAAGAAGAAGGAGGCUGCAAGAGUUGUAUGCAGAGGGGCCGGGCCAUUGGAACCACUCUGCGACAUAACAAAUACGGUAUGGAAUUUAGUUGCACCAAGACUUGAUGAGGAAAUCCCCAUGGAGGUGGAACCCCAAGACCA